rnacentral:rRNA from 1 species
UACGUAGGUGACAAGCGUUGUCCGGAUUUACUGGGCGUAAAGAGCGCGCAGGCGGUCGUUCAAGUCGAGUGUGAAAGCCCCCGGCUCAACUGGGGAGGGUCACUCGAUACUGAUCGACUCGAAGGCAGGAGAGGGUAGUGGAAUUCCCGGUGUAGUGGUGAAAUGCGUAGAUAUCGGGAGGAACACCAGUGGCGAAGGCGACUACCUGGCCUGUUCUUGACGCUGAGGCGCGAAAGCUAGGGGAGCAAACGGGG